GACGAACGCUGGCGGCGUGCUUAACACAUGCAAGUCGAACGAUGAAGCCGGAGCUUGCUCUGGUGAAUUAGUGGCGAACGGGUGAGUAACACGUGAGUAACCUGCCCUUGACUCUGGGAUAACUGCUAGAAAUGGUAGCUAAUACCGGAUACGACCCUCGGAGGCAUCUCCAGGGGGUGGAAAGAAUUUCGGUCAAGGAUGGACUCGCGGCCUAUCAGCUAGUUGGUGAGGUAACGGCUCACCAAGGCGACGACGGGUAGCCGGCCUGAGAGGGUGACCGGCCACACUGGGACUGAGACACGGCCCAGACUCCUACGGGAGGCAGCAGUGGGGAAUAUUGCACAAUGGGCGCAAGCCUGAUGCAGCAACGCCGCGUGAGGGAUGACGGCCUUCGGGUUGUAAACCUCUUUCAGCUAUGACGAAGCGCAAGUGACGGUAGUAGCAGAAGAAGGACCAGCCAACUACGUGCCAGCCGCCGCGGUAA
rnacentral:rRNA from 1 species